GAAAAGAAGAGAUAUAUAGAAUUGGCUUACACUCGCCACAAGAACAUCUGAGUCACCUCAGUACAUUACAUAUUCAUCUUGAGUAAGAGCAGGAUCCGACUACGGACGAAAAUAAACGGCAAAAGAAGAACGACGUCCAUCCUUGCUAUCCCAGGCUCCCGGCCUGGAACCCACCCUAGACCGAUGAAGAAGAAGAAGAAGAAGUAGCAACUCCAAAUGAACAAUCAACGCGCUCGCGUCAAGUACCCUUUACCUGUACCUG
rnacentral:lncRNA from 1 species